rnacentral:rRNA from 1 species
AAACUUUCAACAACGGAUCUCUUGGUUCUGGCAUCGAUGAAGAACGCAGCGAAAUGCGAUAAGUAAUGUGAAUUGCAGAAUUCAGUGAAUCAUCGAAUCUUUGAACGCACCAGUCGCCCAUUAGUAUUCUAGUGGGCAUGCCUGUUCGAGCGUCAUUU